GUUUAUUUUUGGAUGCAAUGUUCAGAUGUUCACAGAAGUAUCUAUAGCAUAACACAAUCAUCCUAACCAGAAAAAUGUAGGCUACAUUUGUCCUAGUGCUGAGGAAAGAUUGACGCAACACAAGCUGACGUAAACUAUACUAUGAAUUAGCUAAUAGCAAUUACUAUGUAUAAUUAAUCACAUCAUGGAUGAGCUCACCAUUGAUCAAAAUAAUUGAGUAAAACACUUUCUAGAAAUCGAAAGUAAUCUGAUGAUUAGUUUCAGCGCGCAGCCAUGCUUUUUUACCUCAGAAACCAAAGAUAAGAGAAGACAAGAUUAGUUUGGUCUGUUUAUAGUAUGCAUGUUGAAGGGGUGUGUCGUCUACCAUCGUUCACAUCCCACAUUCACUUCCUGAAGAUCUCAAAAUGAGUGAACCCUUACUCACCUCAUUUUGUUAUAGCAUCUUUGGUCCGACAGACGAUCAAGAGAAACCCAGAAUGCAUUGUGUCAACAAACAUGGCUCCACACACAUAGCUGGAAUUAGCUUAGCUCAUUAUCAGUACAACCUUAAAAACAUUAUUUUACACACAUACUAUGUGCCCAUUAAAAUCUAUGCAAAAAUCGGAAUGCAUGAUUUAUCACCAGUAAUUGAAAAACGUGAAUAAAAUAGUAAAUAUAUCAAUAAUAGCACAACAAAAAUUCUGAUAGUGAUUUAUUGAUACAAAUGGCGCGUGCAGGCAGUCAAUCACGGUAACCUCUCACUCCCACUCUGAGCCAUUCAGUGUUGUUGUUAAUGUAUGUAGCAAAUGAGCUAAGCUGUAGCAUUAACAAUGUAUUUCAAAAGGAGACAACUCAGAAAUGCAGAAAUUCUGGAGAUUUAAAAAAAAUCUGACAACGAGUCUGAGUCUGAAAGCCAGGAAUCAGAUUCUGACAGUGACAGAGGACCCCUUGUCCACUGACAAAGUCCCAGUUCCCUUUCAAGAUGCUGGUGGUGAUGGAGGCUGACCGAUAGUGGAUGAAGGAGUUCUGUGGUAGCUGGAAGGCUGCCAGCCAUUUCACCCCUCCUGGCCCUGCUGUUUGUGAGGAGUCCCAGUCUGGAGUGCAACACCCCUUGCCAUUUCCAUCUGAGGCAGAGUGCUUCAAGUUGUUUCUGACAGAGGAGUUGGUGGGAGACAUAGUAGAGACCAAUCACUAUGCCUUGGAGCUACAGGAGAAAAGAGACAGGAGUGGGGGGGACAACCACAAUUAGUGAAAUGUAUACAUUCCUGGUGACAGUCCUUCUCAUGGGGAUUAUAAAGAAGAACUCCCUAAGAGAAUACUGGAGCAGAGAUCCUAUGUUUGCAACUCCCUUCUUUGCCACCCUCUUUUCCCAAGACUACUUUCUAGUUCUGCUGCUAUGACUGCAUUUCAUCAACAACGCUACUGCCAUCCUAAAUGACCCGUUAUACAAAAUAAGAAAUGUUAACAGCUGGCAGUAAAGUGCCAUGACAAACGAGAAGUCCAUGUCCUCUCCACUGUCCAUACAGCAACCAUGUCGGCCACAGGGAAGGUGGACCACCUGACGGGAGAGAAACAAACCAGACAGAGAAACAUCAAACCCGACUGCGUGCUUGACUAUAACCUCAAUUCAAACUGUUAAAAAAAAAAAAAACUUGUUAGAAAAUUAUUUAAAUUUGACAAGUUGAAAACAUAAUACAAAUGAAAACAGUCUGCAUGCUUUGGUUUGAGGGCAGCGCGGAAUAAAUGUACUGUUAAGUAACAAUCACAUUCUGGAAUGGAGAGAACGUUCUAACAUCACAUGCAUAAAAAAACUCACGCUGGGGCGACCGUUAGAGAUAUUUGUAACUCACGCAUGAAAGGGUUUUAAGGAACUCCAAAGUUAAUGUCUCAACGUAGUGGCAGCCCACCACCAUACUCUUACAUUCUGCAGGAGAAAGAACAAGAAAACCCUGUAUGGGAAUUAGCAGAGAACCCGUGUAGGGUAAUUAGCAGAGAACGGAACACAAGCACGACAAACCACGGGUGGAAGAUACAGAUCAACCACACGCAGCGAGUGGAGCACUCACGAGGAGGGGCUGGCCAGCUGCUCCAGGCUGCAAACAGCCAGUGAGUAUGCUUCCUCGCAAGAUAUUACACUUACCAAGCGAACUUCAGAAAGUUUGUACCUCAAACCAUUCGGAUGUCCGCCAAGAAAAUGAAAUUAAACGUGUGUCGUGGCCAUGGGGUCUAUAUAUAGGGGCGGACCCCAGCCGUGACAAAGGUGUACACGGGAGUAAAUCUGUAAAUCCUCCCCUCGGAUGUAUCCCUCUGCCGCGGAGUGAUACCAAUAUAUUGGAGUGAUCCAAUAUAGUGAAACAUAACUGUCCAUACCACUUCCAUGAGAAACACUGCGAUUUCCCAUUGACCACUGUAGUGGGGAACUCUCGCAUGUUUGGUAGUGUGGGGGUGGUUCGUCAACUACAGACAAACGCGCAGGUGGACGGGUGAAGUCAUGCUCACCGUGACGAGGCACCGCCAGGCGAUGGUGAGCUAGUUGGCCUUCGGAACUCUAAGCAGUAGCCAUGCAACCUCCUCAUGGGCUGACGACGACUCUGACCAGAUCGGGCUCGGCCGAUGGAGAAUCCUAGUCCACAUCCCAGGACUGAGUGAGCUGAGGAAUGUGGAGUAACCUUUGGAAAUAUUGACUCUGUUCAAUCACCUGAUGUCUUCCGAGAGGCAAACAGUAGGCUUUUGGUAAAGUAUUAGGCACAAAUUAAGAAAUGUUGGCAAUCCACUAGGAAUGCUUUGGAGAUCGACCAGUCAAUCGUUUGGUGACCACUGCUCUUGAAAGUUGAGUGAAGUUCAAUCUAGUGCUUCUCUCUGUGGGCUAUUAUUUCUUCUGUGUGGCAGUCCUGGGGGAGCCGGCAGUCUCCCGGCUACUGAUAGAACCAUCACCAGAGGGAACAUUGGUCUUACCCUCACAAAAAAGAUUGCAGCUUUGAAAAUGCAGUAAAAGUGCAGUAACUGCAGUCGACUGCGAUAUUUUGGACACAGUAAUUGCAGAAUAACUGCAGUGUACUGCAGCUGAACUGCAGUUAUACUGCACUUUAACUGCAGUAAUACUGUAAAAUUACUGCAGUAAAAAAAAGGUGCUAUUUUGGACACAGUAUUUGCAACAUACUGCAGUUACACUGCACGCUGACUGCAAUCUUUUUUCGUAAGUGUAUAGCUAGAACACUCCAUUUAAUCUUGAUAUUAUUGUCACGUCCUGACCAGUGAGAAGGGUCAUUUUGCCAUAGUAGAAUGGUCAGGGCGUGGCAGGGGGAUUGUUUUGUGUGUUUUGGGGUUGGUUUGUUUCUAGGGGAAUUUGUUCUAGUUUUCUGUUUCUAUGUUUCAUUUUCCAUGUGUGGCCGAGUAUGGUUUCCAAUCAGAGGCAGGUGUCUUUCUAUGUCUCUGAUUGGAAGCCAUACUUAGGCAGCCUGUUUUUCUUUGGGUUUUUAAGGGUGUUUAUUUUCCAUUUAGUGAUUGUACCUGACGGAACUGUUGAGCGUUUAUUAUUUUGGUUGUUGAAGUGCAUUCAUUAAAAUCCAAAGAUGAGCACUAUA
rnacentral:lncRNA from 1 species